CGCUAUCACUCCUACGGGGAGGCAGCAGUGGGGAAUAUUGCACAAUGGGGGAAACCCUGAUGCAGCCAUGCCGCGUGUGUGAAGAAGGCCUUCGGGUUGUAAAGCACUUUCAGUAGGGAGGAAGGUAGUGUAGUUAACACCUGCAUUAUUUGACGUUACCUACAGAAGAAAGCACCGGCUAACUCCGUGCCAGCAGCCGUGGUAAUACGGAGGGUGCGAGCGUUAAUCGGAAUUACUGGGCGUAAAGCGCAUGCAGGCGGCCUGUUAAGUCAGAUGUGAAAGCCCGGGGCUUAACCUCGGAAUUGCAUUUGAAACUGGCAGGCUAGAGUCUUGUAGAGGGGGGUAGGAAUUUCAGGUGUAGCGGUGAAAUGCGUAGAGAUCUGAAGGAAUACCAGUGGCGAAGGCGGCCCCCUGGACAAAGACUGACGCUCAGAUGCGAAAGCGUGGGGAGCAAACAGGAUUAGAUACCCUGGUAG
rnacentral:rRNA from 1 species